rnacentral:rRNA from 1 species
AAAUAGAAAAGGGCACAUGACGGAUGCCUUGGUUCAAGGAGGCGAUGAAGGACGUGAUACGCUGCGAUAAGCUAAGGGGAGGUGCGAAUAACCUUUGAUCCUUAGAUUUCCGAAUGGGGUAACCCACCGGUUUACCGGUACGUGCAGCUGAAUACAUAGGCUGCUCGAGCGAACGUAGGGAAGUGAAACAUCUCAGUACCUACAGGAAAAGACAUCAACAGAGAUUCCCCUAGUAGUGGCGAGCGAACGGGGAGCAGGCCAGUGAUUCUCAAGUUAAAAGCAGAACUGUUUGGAAAAGCAGACCAUAGUGGGUGAUAGUCCCGUAUGCGGUGAUUAAUUUGAGAAUACUUGAGUAGAGCCGGGCACGUGAAACCCGGUUUGAAUAUGGGGGGACCAUCCUCCAAGCCUAAAUACUACCUUGAGACCGAUAGUGAACUAGUACCGUGAGGGAAAGGUGAAAAGCACCCCGAAAGGGGGAUGAAAUAGAUCCUGAAAUCAUGUGCCUACAAGCAGUCGGAGCUCCCGUAAGGGGGUGACGGCGUACCUUUUGUAUAAUGGGUCAGCGAGUGAUUCUGACGUGCAAGCUUAAGCCAACAGGUGUAGGCGCAGCGAAAGCGAGUGUUAAUAGCGCGUUUAGUACGUCGGAUUCGACCCGAAACUAGGUGAGCUAACCAUGAGCAGGUUGAAGGUGGGGUAAUACCCACUGGAGGACCGAACCGGUAACCGUUGAAAAGGUUUCGGAUGACUUGUGGUUAGGGGUGAAAGGCCAAUCAAACCUAGUGAUAGCUGGUUCUCCGCGAAAACUAUAGAGGUAGUGCCUCGGAAUUUAGACCCGCAGGGGUAGAGCACUGGAAAGGCUAGGGGGACAUACCGUCUUACCAAACCUUACCAAACUCCGAAUACUGCGGCGUUAUGUCCGGGAGACAGACAGUGGGUGCUAACGUCCAUUGUCGAGAGGGAAACAACCCAGACCACCAUCUAAGGUCCCUAAAUAUUAGCUAAGUGUAUAAGCAGGUGCAGUUGCUUUGACAACCAGGAUGUUGGCUUAGAAGCAGCCAUCAUUCAAAGAAAGCGUAACAGCUCACUGGUCGAGCGACUGUGCGGCGAAAAUGUAUCGGGGCUAAAGCUAAUUACCGAAGUUGUGGACGAAUUUAUUCGUGGUAGCGGAGCGUUCCGUAAGCCUGUGAAGGUGUGCUGUGAGGCAUGCUGGAGGUAUCGGAAGUGAGAAUGCUGACUUGAGUAGCGAUUAGACGGGUGAGAACCCCGUCCGCCGAAUUCCCAAGGGUUCCUGUCCCAUGUUAAUCAGGGCAGGGUGAGCCGGUUCCUAAGGUGAGGCCGAAAGGCGUAGCCGAUGGCAAGCAGGUGAAGAUUCCUGCGCUAGUGGUGUGUGACGGAUUGCAUAAAUUGUUCGGGAUAAUUGGAUUUCUCCGGGCAGUGAAGCGGUUCCAGGAAAGAGCACCCACAUUGAGCCGUACCCGAAACCGACACAGGUGGGAAGGUAGAGUAUACCAAGGCGUUGAGAGAACUAUGGUUAAGGAACUCGGCAAAUUGCACGCGUAACUUCGGGAUAAGCGUGCCCGGUUGUAGCGCAAGCUAUGGCCGGGGGCACAUAAGAGGGGGUGGCAACUGUUUAUCAAAAACACAGGGCUCUGCAAACUCCAAAGAGGAAGUAUAGGGUCUGACGCCUGCCCGGUGCUGGAAGGUUAAGAAAAGCUGUUAACGCAGUGGAUUGAAGCCCCAGUAAACGGCGGCCGUAACUAUAACGGUCCUAAGGUAGCGAAAUUCCUUGUCGGGUAAGUUCCGACCCGCAUGAAUGGCGUAAUGAUCUCCCCACUGUCUCAACCAUAGACUCAGCGAAAUAGAAUUCCUCGUGAAGAUGCGGGGUACCCGCGGCUAGACGGAAAGACCCUAUGAACCUUUACUGUAGCUUUACAGUGGGCUUAGGAAAUGCUUGUGCAGAAUAGGUAGGAGGCGAUGAAGCCAAGGCGUCAGCUUUGGUGGAGCCAUCUUUGAGAUACUACCCUGGCAUUUCUUGAGUUCUAACCUCGCACCGAACCGGUGCAGGGACCCUGUAUGGUGGGCAGUUUGACUGGGGCGGUCGCCUCCCAAAGAGUAACGGAGGCGCUCGAAGUUCGGCUCAGGACGGUUGGAAACCGUCUCUCGAGUGUAAUGGCAAAAGCCGGGCUGACUGCAAGAGGGACACCUCGAGCAGGUGGGAAACCAGGACAUAGUGAUCCGGUGGUUCCGCAUGGAAGGGCCAUCGCAAACGGAUAAAAGGUACUCUAGGGAUAACAGGCUGAUCGCAUCCAAGCGUCCAUAGCGACGAUGCGGUUUGGCACCUCGAUGUCGACUCAUCACAUCCUGGGGCUGGAGCAGGUCCCAAGGGUUCGGCUGUUCGCCGAUUAAAGUGGUACGUGAGUUGGGUUCAAAACGUCGUGAGACAGUUUGGUCCCUAUCUACCGUGGGUGUAGGAGUGUUGAGAAGAGUUGCCCUUAGUACGAGAGGACCGGGGCGAACACACCUCUGGUGUAUCUGUUGUGGCGCCAGCCGCAUUGCAGAGUAGCUAUGUGUGGACGGGAUAACCGCUGAAAGCAUCUAAGCGGGAAGCCUCCUUCAAAACCAGCACUCCCAAUAAGACCGUUGUAGACUACGACGUUGAUAGGUCAGGUGUGUAAGUGCAGCAAUGCAUUGAGCUAACUGAUACUAAUGAUCUGAUUGUUUUG